CUUCAAGCCAAGAUGAUCCCACAUACUUUCCUACUUCAAUUACUCUCCAAAAGAUAAUAUUUAUCUCCUUAAAUCUCCAGAGAAACAGCCCCUUUACAACCACAAAAUCAUCCAUCCUAAGAUUUAAAAGUUUCAAGCCCAAGCUUCAUCAAUCUUUCGAUUUCCCUCUCUUCUUCGCCAUCGAUUCUUCAUGGGUUCUCGAAGUAAUCAGAGUGCGCAGCGGAGCGGAGUUCGAGGAAUCACGAACCUUGAGGCCUUGCACAUCUUACCCGAAUUUCGUAAAAGAUCCAUGUUUUCACUUUUGUCCAUAAAAAGGUCUUAUGUAAAAAUGGAGAUUUUUAUUUUACUCUGAUUUAGGAAUCCAGUCUAUUAAACGGGGGUAUUUAAAUCAAGUUUAUUUUCCUUCCGCUGUCUUACAAGUUUUCUUUUCAAACCCCGAUGAUGUUUAGGUAGCACUCUUUAUGAAAAUCGUAACUUUGAUU